rnacentral:rRNA from 1 species
GACGAACGCUGGCGGCGGGCUUAACACAUGCAAGUCAGAGGGGCUUGGUGUAGCGAUACAUUGAGUCACUGGCGCACGGGUGCGUAACACGUAGGCAACCUGCCCUGGAGUGGGGGAUAACUUUCCGAAAGGGGAGCUAAUACCGCAUGGAGCAGCGAGAGCGCAUGCUUUUGCUGUCAAAGAUGCAAAUUGCUUCAGGAUGGGCCUGCGUCCGAUUAGGUAGUUGGCGGGGUAGAGGCCCACCAAGCCG